AGGAGGAACAACCCCAGUGGCGGGGCCAGCUCUGGAGCCCUGGAGUCAGCUCCCACAGUAACUCCAGAGCUCUCCGUCUGCAGGGCCUGGAGGCUCCGGGGCGGG
rnacentral:pre_miRNA from 1 species